rnacentral:rRNA from 1 species
CCCUGCCAUUUGUACACACCGCCCGUCGCUACUACCGAUUGAACGGCUCAGUGAGGCCUCCGGACUGGCCAGGGGAGGUUGGCAACGACCGCCCCAGGCCGGAAAGCUGGUCAAACUCGGUCGUUUAG